AGGAAAGACGGCCUUAGAGAGUGGUUCAGGCCCCACACUGACGGACUGCCUUAGAAACCCGACUUCCUCUAGACUUUGAACCGCCAGACUUUUCUCUUUAGAAAACAAACAUAUUUAAUGUACUUACUACUUAAAACUCCAGACAGAGAUAAAACGUAGAAGGCAAAUAUUGGCCAAUUUUUUCCUCUUUUUAAGUGGAAGACAAAUGAACGGGAUUUUAAAAGUACUUUUAAAGUGUAUGAAUGGUUAAUAAAUCAGUAUGAAUUGUAAGCCUUCAUCUUACGUCCAAGUCCUUAGUUGGUUAGGGUUUCUUUUCUUUCUUCUUUAAAGAGUGUCCAAUUACCUUUUGAACCUGUGAAAAUUUUAUAGUUGUUAACAAUCUGAUGGUCCUAAUUCUUUCUUUUCAUGCUAGAAAUGAAUGUGGUUGUAAUCAUGUUCCUAAUUCUUGGGACAACCUGCAAGACAGUGAGACAGUUUAAAAAUUACCUUUCAUGUUGAAAAAGUCUGAAACGGAGAACCCAAUGAUAUUUAAAAUAAAUGCUACAUAAAACUCUUUUUAAAAUUUUGGUUUUAACUUCUUAAUUAAAACAAUGUCAUAAAUAUGCUUUUUUAUUUUGUUACUGCUUUUAAUAUAAAAGUAAUAGAAUAUUGAAGCAAUAUUGUCUAGCACUCUGCUGGACAUUAAGUCCGCAGGAGGAGAAGUGAAUAGGAAUCGAUUCUUUGUCUUUUAACUGCCCUUAGUUAGGAGCUGUUAAAAUACUUGGCACCUCUGGUUAUAUGUAUGUUCUCCCCCCUAAAAUUCCUAAGCACAUUUAUUCACUUUUAAAAUGAAUCUUUAAAAGAUUAUAGUUAGUAGUUAUAGUUAAUAUUCUAUUUACUUGGAAAAAUAUGAAUAAAUGAAUCUUCAAAAGAUUCAUUUCAAAAAUGAAUAAAUGUAUAAUAGGCUAUAGGUGAUCUUACUUGCGUAUUAGGUAGGAGGCACAUAUUUAUACCAUUUCAUACAUAAUAUCUUUGUCAUUGUGUUUCAUCGAAGAUCAAUUGCUAGCAACUUGAAGGGUAUUAUACUUGGGUCACUUGAACUCAGCUGACUAAAUUGUAAGAACGAGAGCAAGCAAGAUGGCUGUUAUUGGAAGCCAUAACUUCCAGAAGAUAAUUCUGCACAAUUCGUAAGUUAAAAAAAAUCUGUAGGGUCUUCCACUAUCCUUUUUCAGGUUGAUAAUGCUGUUCUGGGCACAGACUUUGUAAAUGGAAUGUUAUGGUACAGUCGCCUCUCAGUAUCCAUGGGGCAUUGGUUCCAGGCUUCCCUUAGGAUGCCAAACUCCAUGGAUACUCAAACCCCUUCUAUAAAAUGGUGUAGUAUUUGCAUAUAUCCUAGACACAUCCUCCUGUAUGCUUUAAAUCAUCUCUAGAUUACUUAAAAUACCUAAUACAAUGUAAAUGCUAUGUAAAUAGUUGUUAUACUAUAUUGUUUAGGGAAUAAUGACAAGGAAAAAAAAGCCUGUACAUGUUCAGCACAAGUGAAACCAUCCUUUUCUCCCCCAAAUAUUUUCAAUUGGUAUUUGGUUGAAUCCAUGGAUGCAGAACUCACGGAUACAGAGGGCCGACUGUACUUUCUUUAAAGUGUUCAAAAGUAUUACUAGCAAAGAGGAGGAGGAGCAAAGCAUAUAUCAGAAGUAAAACAAUUUUUCUUGUUGACUGCUUUGGUAAAAAACAGUUUGAUGGAUAGUUUUACAUUUCACUGGACUAGAUAAAAAAUGGUGCUAAUAUUUAUGUAGCCUGACGCUAUAGUUGCUUUGGUAUCAAACUUAAUACCUAACCCAUAUAAGAUCCUUAUUAGAUAAUUUUGUGAUCAGUAAAAUGAUAUUUUAAAGAGUGAUCUUAAAAAUAUGACCUGGUCAUUUCACAAUGUUUGCAUUUGAAAUGAAUUUUUGUACUAUAGGGUAGAUAUGGAGUUAUUCAGUGCAAGUGUGUGCUUAAUAUCAAACCCUAUGCAAGGAGCUAUGUCUAGAUUUUUGGUCCAAAUUUGCCUCCUUCAAGCCUACUAGUGUGAGGUGGAAAAAAAUCGAUUGUUCUUUUAAUAUUAUUUCCAUUUUGAAAUUCUGGACACUUGAAUGAAGGCAGUAGAGGCCUCUUUUUGGAUUUCUCUUCUAAUAACAAAACUUUAUUUAGGGAAGGUUUCCCUGUGCUAUUGUAAGUUUGUUUUGAGCACUGCAUUCACUUUAAAAUUCUGGAGGAACAAAGGCUGGGCACAUAUAAUCACAAAGCCCAGGCCACACAGUAAUUCGGGGUUGUAUUUUCUAAGAACUAUGUAUUGUUUUUAGCUUAUAGUUAAUAUUGUAUUUACUUGGGAAAAUGUGAAUAAAGUUAAUUAACAUU
rnacentral:lncRNA from 1 species